UUGUGAACGGCUUCCCUUUAUCUUGCAUAAUAUCGAUUGUCCGAAAUACACUUCGCAUAGCAGGUUUCGCAGAAACAUUUUUAACCGAAUGAUACUUUUGCAUAAUUGUAUAAUUAGCAUAACUGUCAUGUCGCAUAACAUUCAUUUGGCAGAAUUUUGAAUAGCAGAAUACUAAUAUCGUCGAUUUUACAUACGCAGAAUUGUAUGUAGCAAAAAUUACAUUCCACCGAAUUUCUUAUGGCAUAUUGCUCAUAUUGCAGACUUUAAUUUCGCAGAAUUAUGCAGCUGAAUUAAAGUUCUGCCGAAAUUGUUACCGCAUAAUACUCAUGUCGCUGACUGAACCUACACAAUAGGAAUUGCUGCCAGAACUACAGGUUAGGUUAGGUUAGAACUGCGACCCCUACAUAAAAGGAAUUUCUGUCAGAAGUGUAGGUUAGGUUAGGUUAGAAUUGCGACCCCUGCUCAAUAGGAACUGUUGGAGUAGGUGUUCAUUGGUGGAGUAGGGUACGGAAAAU